GGGCGAAUGGUCUAGUGGUAUGAUUCCUCGUUUUGGUCGAGGAGGCCCGGGGUUCAAUUCCCCGUUUGCCCC
rnacentral:tRNA from 1 species